rnacentral:rRNA from 1 species
UAGGUUUCCUGGGUUAAGGUAAUCUUCCCAGGGUAAGUCGGCACCUAARACGAGGACGAAGGUCGUAGUCGAUGGACAAUCGGUUUAGAUUCCGAUACCUUAUAUGAGAUCGAAGGCAAGACGCAUGAGGUGAAACCCAACCGGAGAAUGGUAGUUCCGGUCGAAGUAUUCAAGCCGUUAAGGACUGAUAGGCAAAUCCGUCAGUCUAGGUGAGAUAUGACAGGUAGUGAAGCUUAAGGCUGAGCGAAGUGGGUGUAAUCAAGGUGCCAGGAAAUACUGUCUAAGAAUAUGUCAUAUAAGACCGUACCGCAAACCGACACAGGCAGGUAGGAUGAGAAAUCUAAGGCGCUCGAGAGAACUCGCGUUAAGGAAUUCGGCAAAAUGCACACGUAACUUCGGGAGAAGUGUGGCCUCGUUUUAUUAAGAAAAGAGGCGUCACAAAGCAGGUCCAGGCGACUGUUUAUCAAAAACACAGCCAUCUGCAAAUCAGCAAUG